rnacentral:lncRNA from 1 species
GGUAAGAGUAACAUAGUGGAGGUAAGCACCACCUUUUCAAUAAAAUUAGCUUUGCCAUGUAGAUUCCAAGCGUCAUAGUUCGCAACAAAGGCCUCAAUUCAGAUCACCGAGUAAAACCCACAUGAGGAUUCAUUUGAAGUAUGUUUGAUGUCCCGUUGGCCAGGUUGGAUUGAAGCAGAUCCCUAUUUCUCACGACUCUUGAGCAAAAGUGGAUUGUUUCUAACAGGAAUCUGUCGUGCCAUUCAAGGCGUCAAGUACAGGAAGAUGUAGAAAUACUUGCCGUUUGUGAGGAAUUUGUCUCUUCAGAAGGAUAUUUUCCUUGAAAGCGACAUCCCACCUAUCUGGAUGAAUAUCCAGGCAGGUAGCUUUUUUUUUAUAUUCACUUGCAAAAACUGUUUCCUUUUUUGCAACAACGUAGAAUGUGGCUUCAUUGUGGCUGAUUCCAUUGAAUAUAUGUGGGAAGAAGGGAAGAGUUUUCUGUAUUCAGGUGAGCUUUUAGGAAGUAAAGUUCCACUGAGGAUGCAGGAGAUGGAAUGGAAACUUCUGUAAGCCAUCAAAUGCACUUCAUCAUCCACUCAUGCUUAGGGCAUACGUCACUUGUGACCAGGUCCUUUCUAUUCCUUCAAAAAGACACUGCCCAAAACAAUUUUUGAAACAUUUUUACUGUCGGUUUUUGUUAUAAAUUAGAACAAUAACACCAAAGUGUGAAUCAUCAUUCUUUGAACUUUUGAUAGCUUAUCUGAAAGCAGAUAUUGUACAUUUCUUUUGACCAAGCAUCUAUUUGCUUUGUUAUAAUAGGUUGAAAUUGAAUGUUGAUGAUCGAAUAUCCGAUAUUUCCAAUAACCAUUUCUAUUAUGGUCGUAUUGAUAGAAUAAUCAAUAAAGGAUACAACAAUAUGCUUUAACUUAUGAGUAAUAGUUAUGUACAGAUUGUCAACAACUAAUUGUAUAAAGAAAACAUAUUUUCAUGAGACUUGUAAAUUACUUCAUACUUUUUAUUUGUCAAAUUAUUUGAGUUUGUGUUUAUUUGUGUCUAUGUACGUACCUAUAGUAUUUUAAAAUCAUAAAAUUUUAAUUAUGUAUUUCUAUCCAUUAGUUAAAUUGAUAAAAAUAAACUUCAAACUAUUUAUGAAUAUACAAUAAUCUGGAUUUUGUAAUAAUGAAUAUUUAAAAUUGUGUUUAAUUUAGGCUUCGUAGAAGCAAAAACAUUAUUAAGAGUAGUAGCAAUUUUAACAUAUAGUAGUUAGGAUUAUAGCAGCAACUCAGAUGAAUAGCAAUUGUAACAACAAGGGCAUUUUGGCUUGUCAAAACCAGAAUAAAAUUUUAAUAUACAAUAUUUAUUAAAAAAAUUUAAAUAUCCUAUUUUUAUUUUAAAAAGUAUUGAAAAUAAAAUCUAUUUUUUAUAUAUUUUAGUAAAGAAGAAGUCUUGUUACACUUUGAUAAACUAAAAAUUAUUAUAAACUUAGAAAAACUUAUUAUUGAUAUUAUAAAGUCCAAUCAACAUGUAUCUUUUUAUGUUUAUGAGUUAGAAUCUGCAAAGAAUAUUUUAUUUUAUUUUAUUAUUAAUUUUCAUUAUUUUGUGUGCAUUAAACUAGUACUAUACUUGUUACAUGUAUGUUUUUUGAUUGGUUUUUAACUAAAAAUAUUAGAAUUUUAAAAUACAUUAAAUUGUUUUUAUUUCUUUUUAUAGAUAAUAUUACAUUCUUUUGUUAGGUUUAGUAGAUGUUAAUUUAAGUUGAAUAAUCUAAUAUAGAUAAUAUUAUUUUAAAAAUAAAUUUAGUUUUAUAUGUUAAAAUGGCUUUUAAAAAUAGGGUGCAUUGGAGUGUUGAGUAUUCCUUUGAGGCUAAUAGACAUAUAAUUUGUUUUGCAGAUAAUUUUAAACAAAUUGACUAAGUUGAAAUUUUAUGAUAAUCCAACAACCAUUUGAAACAUACAAAAGAUAUUUGAAAUUUAUUUAAAGAUCAAUCUAUCAAUUUUAUUUAUUUAUUAUAAAUGGUAUGAUACCAAUUUACAUAAAGUUUUUUCUAAUAAGAACUGGAGUAGACUAUUCCUUGUGUAUUGCUUAGUUUAAUAAAAAUUUAUUAUUUAAGACCCUUUGUAAGAUGAAUGACUUUAAUGAAUUGUAUUUAUGCAUCAGAGUUAAAUCUGUAAAAGAUUAUGUCAAAUAUACCAUCGAAAAGAGCUAAUGCUAUUUCAUUUUAAAUUGUUAAAAUAGAGAUAUGUUGACAUCAUCUUUGAAUCUAAUACUUAAUGUGUAAAUUUUUAAAAUUAGAACUCAAAGACAUUCAAAGUAAAAUAGAGAAUAUUACAAAAACAAACAGAGAUAGAAUGUUCAGUAUGUAACAGUGGGUAUCAAAAUUGAUUAUCUAUUUUUUACAUAUAUUGUAAGUUAAAAAAUAUCAAUUAAUAAUCCUAUAUAUUAAAGAAUGAUAAAAUUAAAUAUUAAAUUAGAAUUCAAGUUAUAGCAAAGACAAAAUAAAAAUAUGUUAAUAUAAAAAAAAUUAUGAUGCAAAUGAUCAGAGAUCUAUAACAACUUUUUUAACAACUGUAGAACCAUCUAAUAGAAAUCCAAAAAAAAAAAAAAAAAAAAAAAAAAUCAAUUUGCAAAUUUGAUAGUAUACCAAUAUGUAAUGAACAUGGUAAAGUUUUAGCAAUUGAAAAUGGAUUUGAAUAAUAAAAAAUAAGAUUUAAUAUGUGUGACAUCUAAUAAUGUAAAAAAUUUGAAAAAAUAUACAAAACAUUAUUCAAUAAAUAGAUCAAAUAAAAAUAAUAAUACAAAUAAUUUAAUAUUCAACAAAUGAUGUCAUGGCACAUAUAUAUACAAACAUAUUUAAGAAAUAUAGAUAUUUUGUACCAAGAAAUAUACCAGAAUUAAAAAUUGUGAUAUUUUAAAAUAAAAGUAUUUAA